GAUGAAGAACGCAGCGAAAUGCGAUAAGUAAUGUGAAUUGCAGAAUUCCGUGAAUCAUCGAAUCUUUGAACGCACAUUGCGCCCCCUGGUAUUCCGGGGGGCAUGCCUGUCCGAGCGUCAUUGCAACCUUCAAGCGCGGCUUGUGUGUUGGGUCUCGUCCCCCGUGGACGGGCCCGAAAGGCAGUGGCGGCGUCCCGACAUGGUGCCCGAGCGUAUGGGAAUCCUCUUCCGCUCGAAUCGGCCCAUGCGGCGCUGGUCGUAACCAAAUUUUUUACCGGUUGACCUCGGAUCAGGCAGGGAUACCCGCUGAACUUAAGCAUAUCAAUAAGCGGAGGA
rnacentral:misc_RNA from 1 species